GACGGUAUAGCUCAGUGGUGGAGUGCAUGCUUAGCAUGCACAAGGUCCUGGGUUCAAUCCCCAGUACCUCCA
rnacentral:tRNA from 1 species